CUGGCGGCAUGCCUUACACAUGCAAGUCGAACGGCAGCACGGGUGCUUGCACCUGGUGGCGAGUGGCGAACGGGUGAGUAAUACAUCGGAACAUGUCCUGUANUGGGGGAUAGCCCGGCGAAAGCCGGAUUAAUACCGCAUACGAUCUGAGGAUGAAAGCGGGGGACCUUCGGGCCUCGCGCUAUAGGGUUGGCCGAUGGCUGAUUUGCUAGUUGGUGGGGUAAAGGCCUACCAAGGCGACGAUCAGUAGCUGGUCUGAGAGGACGACCAGCCACACUGGGACUGAGACACGGCCCAGACUCCUACGGGAGGCAGCAGUGGGGAAUUUUGGACAAUGGGCGAAAGCCUGAUCCAGCAAUGCCGCGUGNGUGAAGAAGGCCUUCGGGUUGUAAAGCACUUUUGUCCGGAAAGAAAUCCUUGGUUCUAAUAUAGCCGGGGGAUGACGGUACCGGAAGAAUAAGCACCGGCUAACUACGUGCCAGCAGCCGCGGUAAUACGUAGGGUGCAAGCGUUAAUCGGAAUUACUGGGCGUAAAGCGUGCGCAGGCGGUUUGCUAAGACCGAUGUGAAAUCCCCGGGCUCAACCUGGGAACUGCAUUGGUGACUGGCANGCUAGAGUAUGGCANANGGGGGUAGAAUUCCNCGUGUAGCAGUGAAAUGCGUANAGAUGUGGAGGAAUACCGAUGG
rnacentral:rRNA from 1 species